rnacentral:rRNA from 1 species
AAGGUGGAUUUGUGAGUAAUUUUGUCAUAGGACUAUUGGAUGAAGGGUGGAAUAAUAUGUGUACAUAUUGCCCGUCGCUCUCGCUAUUUUUGAGAUAAGUCGUAACAUAGUUGAUAUACUGGAAGGUGUAUCUUUUUGG